rnacentral:tRNA from 1 species
GGAGAGGUGGCUGAGCGGUCUAAGGCGGUCGACUCGAAAUCGACUGAGGGGCCCAAAAGCCCCUCCGUGGGUUCAAAUCCCACCCUCUCCGCCA